AUGGGACCUGGUCUGGCCGUGUGCCAUACGGGCCAGUCCGCAGCUCAGUUCACCGCUCGCCCGGCCGCCUCCGACGAAAAUGCUUUUUGUUCUUCAUCAGAAACAGAAAAAAUACUCAAAGUCAAAACUCCACACUUGGACCAGCUCAGUCCCUUUCCCCCGAAAAUAAAGAAAAAUCCACACUUGGACCCGGACGCACGGUAUGGUACCGUUGAGCUCGAAUCACGACUGUUGUCUCGUUCCACACCUGUCCCCGUGAAUACGGUAGGGAAAAAAAUGUGUGCUGGGUGUGCCACCAUCUCUGACGACAACUUGCCAGGGACCAAGGCAGAUGCCAGCAGUCCUGAACUUCAUGGUAGUACAUUUUGUACCCUGUUGAAUUGGAGUGGAACUUAA
rnacentral:rRNA from 1 species